rnacentral:lncRNA from 1 species
AAGUUCGCGAGAGAAAUAUACGGUUGAUGACCCAAUUGCCCUCACCUCUUAAUGUUUCGACUUCCCCGGGUUGAGGUACGUAGGGUUUUGUAGGUGUAUGACAGAGUUAUUUAGAUUUUGCUUAGAUUAUGUUUAGAUAUUGUGUAGAUAUUAGAAGAUAUUAUUAGAUUACAUCGGUAAAGAAAACUGAAACAGUGGGAGUGCUGAUAACUUACCGUCCACACAAAUUCUGACGCAACCGGCGCAUGCCAAAAACGAAUCGACCAAAAGAUUUUCGUCCUCUACUUAACCGUGAAAAAAUAAACCCUAAACCCACAAAAUAAACCCUAAACCCUAAACCGUAAACCCUAAACCCUUCCCUUUUUUAGUAAACCUAAACCCUAAACCCGAACCCUAAAAACUAAACCUAAAGCCUAAAGCCUAAAUCUAAACCCUAAACCCGAACCCUAAAAACUAAACCUAAACCCUAAACCCGAAUCCUAAACCCUUAACCCUAGACCCCAAACCCCAAACCCAUAACAAUAAACCCUAAACCCUUAACAUUUAACCCAAACACUAAACCCUAACCACUACACCUUUCUUCAGUAAACCUAAAUCCUAAACCCAAAACCCUAAAGUCUAAAGCGUAGACCGUUACCCCUAAUCCCUAAACCCUUCCCCUUUUUUUAGUAAACCUAAACCCAAACACUGAAAACUAAACAGAAUACUACCACCCACGAAUUAACGGAACAUACUAAAGUUAAAAAAUUUAUAUAGCCAACCCUUACUGAAAAGGUUACCACAACGAUUAUCCAUCCCGACUUACACCGGUAAAAUGCAUCCAAUACAAUGGAUAUAUCGCUAACAUUGCAAAACAUAAAGAUAUGAAAUCAAAUAUCUGGCUAGUUCUCUUUUUAUACAUGUAAACUUCGUAGUAGCUUGAUAAUUCCAUGACUCAGUGAGCAUGUUCAUUCUAAGCCGUAAACCUUUAACUUAAACAAUAAACCCUAAACCGUAAAUCCUAAACCCCAAACCCAUACCAAUACACCCUAAACUGGAAACCCUUAACCGCGAAAAAAUAAACCCUAAACCCACAAAAUAAACCCUAAACCCUAAACCGUAAACCGUAAACCCUAAACCCUUCCCUUUUUUUAGUAAACCUAAACCCUAAACCCGAACCCUAAAAACUAAACCAAAAGCCUAAACCCUAAACCUAAACCCUAAACCCGAACCCUAAAAACUAAACCUAAACCCUAAACCCGAAUCCUAAACCCUUAACCCUAGACCCCAAACCCAUAACAAUAAGCCCUAAACACUUAACAUUUAACCCAAACACUAAACCCUAACCACUACACCUUUCUUCAGUAAACCUAAACCCUAAACCCAAAACCCUAAAGUCUAAAGCCUAGAUCGUUACCCCUAAUCCCUAAACCCUUCCCCUUUUUUUAGUAAACCUAAACCCAAACACUGAAAACUAAACAGAAUACUACCA